AUUGAACGCUAGCGGGAUGCCUUACACAUGCAAGUCGAACGGCGUGGCGAACGGGUGAGUAAUGUAUCUGAACGUGCCCCGUCGCGGGGGAUCACUACGCGAAAUCGUAGCUAAUACCGCAUACUAUUGGAGCGGCCUAUAUCGGAGUAGAGAGUUGGUGGGGUAACGGCUCACCAAGACGACGAUCCGUAGCGGGUUUGAGAGGACGACCAGCCAGACUGGGACUGAGACACGGCCCAGAAUCCUACGGGAGGCAGCAGUGGGGAAUUUUGGACAAUGGGGGAAACCCUGAUCCAGCCAUCCCGCGUGUGCGAUGAAGGCCUUCGGGUUGUAAAGUACUUUUGGCAGGAAAGCGGUACCUGCAGAAUAAGCACCGGCUAACUACGUGCCAGCCGCCGCGGUAAUUC
rnacentral:rRNA from 1 species